rnacentral:rRNA from 1 species
AGUGAACGCUGGCGGUAGGCCUAACACAUGCAAGUCGAACGGCAGCACAGUAAGAGCUUGCUCUUACGGGUGGCGAGUGGCGGACGGGUGAGGAAUACAUCGGAAUCUACUCUUUCGUGGGGGAUAACGUAGGGAAACUUACGCUAAUACCGCAUACGACCUACGGGUGAAAGCAGGGGAUCUUCGGACCUUGCGCGAUUGAAUGAGCCGAUGUCGGAUUAGCUAGUUGGCGGGGUAAAGGCCCACCAAGGCGACGAUCCGUAGCUGGUCUGAGAGGAUGAUCAGCCACACUGGAACUGAGACACGGUCCAGACUCCUACGGGAGGCAGCAGUGGGGAAUAUUGGACAAUGGGCGCAAGCCUGAUCCAGCCAUACCGCGUGGGUGGAGAAGGCCUUCGGGUUGUAAAGCCCUUUUGUUGGGAAAAAAAAGCAGCAGGUUAAUACCCCGCUGUUCUGACGGUACCCAAAGAAUAAGCACCGGCUAACUUCGUG